CACGUAGGGCGCAAGCGUUGUCCGGAAUUAUUGGGCGUAAAGAGCUCGUAGGCGGUUUGUCGCGUCUGCUGUGAAAACUGGAGGCUCAACCUCCAGCCUGCAGUGGGUACGGGCAGACUAGAGUGCGGUAGGGGAGAUUGGAAUUCCUGGUGUAGCGGUGGAAUGCGUAGAUAUCUGGAGGAACACCGGUGGCGAAGGCGACUUACUGGACGAUUGUUGACGCUGAGGUGCGAAAGCGUGGGGAGCAAACAGG
rnacentral:rRNA from 1 species